rnacentral:rRNA from 1 species
GCCACAAGGCGACGAUCAGUAGCUGGUCUGAGAGGACGAUCAGCCACACUGGACUGAGACACGGCCCAGACUCCUACGGGAGGCAGCAGUGGGGAAUUUUGGACAAUGGGCGAAAGCCUGAUCCAGCAAUGCCGCGUGUGUGAAGAAGGCCUUCGGGUUGUAAAGCACUUUUGUCCGGAAAGAAAUGGCUCUGGUUAAUACCUGGGGUCGAUGACGGUACCGGAAGAAUAAGGACCGGCUAACUACGUGCCAGCAGCCGCGGUAAUACGUAGGGUGCAAGCGUUAAUCGGAAUUACUGGGCGUAAAGCGUGCGCAGGCGGUUGUGCAAGACCGAUGUGAAAUCCCCGAGCUUAACUUGGGAAUUGCAUUGGUGACUGCACGGCUAGAGUGUGUCAGAGGGGGGUAGAAUUCCACGUGUAGCAGUGAAAUGCGUAGAGAUGUGGAGGAAUACCGAUGGCGAAGGCAGCCCCCUGGGAUAACACUGACGCUCAUGCACGAAAGCGUGGGGAGCAAACAGGAUUAGAUACCCUGGUAGUCCACGCCCUAAACGAUGUCAACUAGUUGUUGGGGAUUCAUUUCCUUAGUAACGUAGCUAACGCGUGAAGUUGACCGCCUGGGGAGUACGGUCGCAAGAUUAAAACUCAAAGGAAUUGACGGGGACCCGCACAGGCGGUGGAUGAUGUGGAUUAAUUCGAUGCAACGCGAAAAACCUUACCUACCCUUGACAUGCCACUAACGAAGCAGAGAUGCAUUAGGCGCUCGAAAGAGAAAGUGGACACAGGUGCUGCAUGGCUGUCGUCAGCUCGUGUCGUGAGAUGUUGGGUUAAGUCCCGCAACGAGCGCAACCCUUGUCUCUAGUUGCUACGAAAGGGCACUCUAGAGAGACUGCCGGUGACAAACCGGAGGAAGGUGGGGAUGACGUCAAGUCCUCAUGGCCCUUAUGGGUAGGGCUUCACACGUCAUACAAUGGUGCAUACAGAGGGUUGCCAAGCCGCGAGGUGGAGCUAAUCCCAGAAAAUGCAUCGUAGUCCGGAUCGUAGUCUGCAACUCGACUACGUGAAGCUGGAAUCGCUAGUAAUCGCGGAUCAGCAUGCCGUCGAUACCCUUC